GGGUUGUGAGGUUAAGCGACUAAGCGUACACGGUGGAUGCCCUGGCAGUCAGAGGCGAUGAAGGACGUGCUAAUCUGCGAAAAGCGUCGGUAAGGUGAUAUGAACCGUUAUAACCGGCGAUGUCCGAAUGGGGAAACCCAGUGUGAUUCGUCACACUAUCGUUAACUGAAUACAUAGGUUAACGAGGCGAACCGGGGGAACUGAAACAUCUAAGUACCCCGAGGAAAAGAAAUCAACCGAGAUUCCCCCAGUAGCGGCGAGCGAACGGGGAGCAGCCCAGAGUCUGAAUCAGCUUGUGUGUUAGUGGAACGGUCUGGAAAGUCCGACGGUACAGGGUGAUAGUCCCGUACACCAAAAUGCACAGGUUGUGAACUCGAAGAGUAGGGCGGGACACGUGGUAUCCUGUCUGAAUAUGGGGGGACCAUCCUCCAAGGCUAAAUACUCCUGACUGACCGAUAGUGAACCAGUACCGUGAGGGAAAGGCGAAAAGAACCCCGGCGAGGGGAGUGAAAAAGAACCUGAAACCGUGUACGUACAAGCAGUGGGAGCACCUUUAUGGUGUGACUGCGUACCUUUUGUAUAAUGGGUCAGCGACUUAUAUUCUGUAGCAAGGUUAACCGUAUAGGGGAGCCGCAGGGAAACCGAGUCUUAACUGGGCGUUAAGUUGCAGGGUAUAGACCCGAAACCCGGUGAUCUAGCCAUGGGCAGGUUGAAGGUUGGGUAACACUAACUGGAGGACCGAACCGACUAAUGUUGAAAAAUUAGCGGAUGACUUGUGGCUGGGGGUGAAAGGCCAAUCAAACCGGGAGAUAGCUGGUUCUCCCCGAAAGCUAUUUAGGUAGCGCCUCGUGAACUCAUCUUCGGGGGUAGAGCACUGUUUCGGCUAGGGGGUCAUCCCGACUUACCAACCCGAUGCAAACUACGAAUACCGAAGAAUGUUAUCACGGGAGACACACGGCGGGUGCUAACGUCCGUCGUGAAGAGGGAAACAACCCAGACCGCCAGCUAAGGUCCCAAAGUCAUGGUUAAGUGGGAAACGAUGUGGGAAGGCACAGACAGCCAGGAUGUUGGCUUAGAAGCAGCCAUCAUUUAAAGAAAGCGUAAUAGCUCACUGGUCGAGUCGGCCUGCGCGGAAGAUGUAACGGGGCUAAACCAUGCACCGAAGCUGCGGCAGCGACGCUUAUGCGUUGUUGGGUAGGGGAGCGUUCUGUAAGCCUGCGAAGGUGGCCUGUGAGGGUUGCUGGAGGUAUCAGAAGUGCGAAUGCUGACAUAAGUAACGAUAAAGCGGGUGAAAAGCCCGCUCGCCGGAAGACCAAGGGUUCCUGUCCAACGUUAAUCGGGGCAGGGUGAGUCGACCCCUAAGGCGAGGCCGAAAGGCGUAGUCGAUGGGAAACAGGUUAAUAUUCCUGUACUUGGUGUUACUGCGAAGGGGGGACGGAGAAGGCUAUGUUAGCCGGGCGACGGUUGUCCCGGUUUAAGCAUGUAGGCUGGUUAUCCAGGCAAAUCCGGAUAAUCAAGGCUGAGGUGUGAUGACGAGGCACUACGGUGCUGAAGUAACAAAUGCCCUGCUUCCAGGAAAAGCCUCUAAGCAUCAGGUAACAUCAAAUCGUACCCCAAACCGACACAGGUGGUCAGGUAGAGAAUACCAAGGCGCUUGAGAGAACUCGGGUGAAGGAACUAGGCAAAAUGGUGCCGUAACUUCGGGAGAAGGCACGCUGGUGUGUAGGUGAAGUCCCUGCGGAUGGAGCUGAGACCAGUCGAAGAUACCAGCUGGCUGCAACUGUUUAUUAAAAACACAGCACUGUGCAAACACGAAAGUGGACGUAUACGGUGUGACGCCUGCCCGGUGCCGGAAGGUUAAUUGAUGGGGUUAUCCGUAAGGAGAAGCUCUUGAUCGAAGCCCCGGUAAACGGCGGCCGUAACUAUAACGGUCCUAAGGUAGCGAAAUUCCUUGUCGGGUAAGUUCCGACCUGCACGAAUGGCGUAAUGAUGGCCAGGCUGUCUCCACCCGAGACUCAGUGAAAUUGAACUCGCUGUGAAGAUGCAGUGUACCCGCGGCAAGACGGAAAGACCCCGUGAACCUUUACUAUAGCUUGACACUGAACAUUGAGCCUUGAUGUGUAGGAUAGGUGGGAGGCUUUGAAGCGUGGACGCCAGUCUGCGUGGAGCCAACCUUGAAAUACCACCCUUUAAUGUUUGAUGUUCUAACGUUGGCCCCUAAUCGGGGUUGCGGACAGUGUCUGGUGGGUAGUUUGACUGGGGCGGUCUCCUCCCAAAGCGUAACGGAGGAGCACGAAGGUUAGCUAAUCCUGGUCGGACAUCAGGAGGUUAGUGCAAUGGCAUAAGCUAGCUUGACUGCGAGCGUGACGGCGCGAGCAGGUGCGAAAGCAGGUCAUAGUGAUCCGGUGGUUCUGAAUGGAAGGGCCAUCGCUCAACGGAUAAAAGGUACUCCGGGGAUAACAGGCUGAUACCGCCCAAGAGUUCAUAUCGACGGCGGUGUUUGGCACCUCGAUGUCGGCUCAUCACAUCCUGGGGCUGAAGUAGGUCCCAAGGGUAUGGCUGUUCGCCAUUUAAAGUGGUACGCGAGCUGGGUUUAGAACGUCGUGAGACAGUUCGGUCCCUAUCUGCCGUGGGCGCUGGAGAAUUGAGGGGGGCUGCUCCUAGUACGAGAGGACCGGAGUGGACGCAUCACUGGUGUUCGGGUUGUCAUGCCAAUGGCACUGCCCGGUAGCUAAAUGCGGAAGAGAUAAGUGCUGAAAGCAUCUAAGCACGAAACUUGCCCCGAGAUGAGUUCUCCCUGAGACUAUAAGUCUCCUGAAGGAACGUUGAAGACGACGACGUUGAUAGGCCGGGUGUGUAAGCGCAGCGAUGCGUUGAGCUAACCGGUACUAAUGAACCGUGAGGCUUAACCUUACAACGCCGAAG
rnacentral:rRNA from 1 species